rnacentral:rRNA from 1 species
UACGGAGGAUGCAAGCGUUAUCCGGAAUGAUUGGGCGUAAAGCGUCCGCAGGUGGCUAUGUAAGUCUGCUGUUAAAGAGUGAGGCUCAACCUCAUAAGAGCAGUGGAAACUACAUGGCUAGAGUGCGUUCGGGGCAGAGGGAAUUCCUGGUGUAGCGGUGAAACGCGUAGAGAUCAGGAAGAACACCGGUGGCGAAAGCGCUCUGCUAGGCCGCAACUGACACUGAGGGACGAAAGCUAGGGGAGCGAAUGGG